UUAGCCGCUGAAAUAGAUGGAUUGUAUAGAUGAGGUUCUAUCUAUUAAAGAGGCUAGCC
rnacentral:pre_miRNA from 1 species